rnacentral:rRNA from 1 species
UACGUAGGGGGCGAGCGUUGUCCGGAAUUAUUGGGCGUAAAGAGCUCGUAGGCGGCUUAGUAAGUCGGCGGUGAAAUACCGAGGCUCAACCUCGGCACUGCCGUCGAUACUGCUAUGGCUAGAGUUUGGUAGAGGAGAACGGAAUUCCCGGUGUAGCGGUGGAAUGCGCAGAUAUCAGGAGGAACACCAAUUGCGAAGGCAGCUCGCUGGGACGUUACUGACGCUGAGACGCGAAAGCGUGGGGAGCAAACGGG